GGCAAACGUAGGCGGUCGGGACACCCCCGAUGGCAGCCCGAUCGCGCAUGAGCGCCGGCUGAGCCUCAGCCAAUGGAUCACCGCCGGCCAGGGUGAGCGCGGGAGUGAAGAUCGCGCCAAUCCGCCGCACCAUUUCCCGAAGUCGUGAGUGAUCGACAUCGCCCACGAUCGCGACCUGAGUGCUGCCGUUCACGAUUGCGUCCGCUACGCCGGCCAGGUGACCGAGUGCCUGCGGAUACUGCGCGAUCGCCUCGCCGACACUCGACACCACUCGCUCGGCCAUCGAACGCCACUCGUGGAUGUCGUCGAGUUCCGCCCAGGCGAGCAGCAACUCGGCCGUGAGCGAAGUUCCUGACGGAGUGGCGUUGUCGGUGACUUCACGCGGCCGGACGAUCAGCCGCUCGUGAUCGACCGCGGUGUCGUACCACGUCUCCGAUUCGGUGUCGCGGAACCGUUCGAUCGUGCGUUCGGUGAUUGUGCGCGACAGGAGGAGCCACGACGUGUCGAAGGUCAGGCCGUACAGGUCGAGGAACGCGAGCGCCACGGCUGCGUGGUCCUCGAGCAUUCCGGGACCCGAUACACGGCCAUCGAGCGAAGACCUCGAGACACGUCCGUCGCGUACAAGCGUCGUGGCCAGGUAUCGUCCGGCCUUUUCGGCGGCCUCGCGGUAGUCAUCCCUCCCGAACGCGCGCGCCGCCUCGACGAAAGCGCGGAUCAUCAGCCCGUUCCACGAUGCGACGACCUUGUUGUCCUUCGUCGGCCACGGACGUUGACUCCUCGCUUCAUACAGCCGCUGUCGCGCGCGCGCGAUCGCGGCGCGAACCUCGUCAGGCGGCGUCCCGGUCCUGGCGGCCGUAGCCUCAACGCCGUCCGGCACGAACAGGAUGCUCCGUCCCU
rnacentral:misc_RNA from 1 species